rnacentral:lncRNA from 1 species
AAAAAGGGACAGUUAUGUUGGGAAAACAACACUCCCAAGAAUGGCCAAGAAAGAUAACUUGCAAUGUGAAAAUUUUCAAACCAUUUGAAAGAUAAAAAAUUGGGGAAGAAAUGAUUUUCAAUAUAAAUGAAGAACAAUGGAUUUGGAUUACUUGAAUAAGCCUCAAGUUAAUCCCAAAGAAAGAAAAAUGGCUUUGAAUUUAUACCCAAGAAGAACAACCUCUUACUUGAUAAAUUCUAUCCAAGCCCACUCUAUUUUCUCUUCUCUAAAAUCGGGUGCUCCGUUUGCAAGGAAAAAAACCAGCUUUAUAUAUAUGUAUCGGGGCGCCUAAGCGCCACUCACCUGGAUUCAGCAUUGGGGCGCCUAGGCGCCAGGUUUCUGCUCCAUUUUACCGGCUAGCGCCUAGGCACCCACUCAUGGCGCCCAGCUUCUUCUCCCAUUUCUCCAAUUCUCCACUUCGUAUAUUAUUUAAUAGACCUCAAAUUUUGGAUGAACACAAGAAGAAGUAGCAAGCGCCAAACUCGGCUGCACCAUUCAAACCAUGGUUGCCUACGUACCCAAAACUCGGGAUCAAACCUCCAUAGUUCACCUCCACCUUCAUAUACUCUUCACCUCAUUUCAACCCCACCCCGAAGGGCCAUGCCCACUCGGACAUAUCCACACGAACUAAUGUGAAGUCCAAGAUAUGCUGAAACUUGCUACCCAUUACCACUUUGGUUAACAUGUCUGCUGGGUUCUCAUUUGUGUGUACCUUCAAGAGAGAAACUUGCUACCCAUUACCACUCGGGCAUAUCAACACGAACUAAUGUGAAGUCCAAGAUAUGCUGAAACUUGCUACCCGUUACCACUUUGGUUAACAUGUCUGCUGGAUUCUCAUUUGUGUGUACCUUCAAGAGAGAAAUAUCACAUUCCUCUAUGACAUUACCCACAAAAUGAUACCUGACGUCGAUAUUCUUGGUUCGAGCAUGAUGAACCUGAUUCUUAGCCAAGUGAAUCGCACUCUGGCUAUCACACCACAAGUCCACACAAUCCUGCUCAAUCCCCAAAUUAUCUAGAAGACCCCACAACCACAAUGCUUCCUUCACUCCCUCUGCCAUGGCCAUAUACUCGACCUCUGUAGUAGAAAGAGCCACUGUAGCCUGUAACAUCAAUCGCCAACUAACUGGGGCAUCAUGUAUGCAAAACAUAUAUCCAGUAGUAGAUCGUCGUCUAUCUAGAUCACCUGCAUAAUCCGAGUCCACAAAUCCACUUAUAUGACAUGCAUCUCCUCUAAAACAUAAACCCGUAUCCGCGGUACCUUUUAAGUACCUCAGGAUCCACUUCACAGCUUCCCAGUGUGCCUUCCCCGGGUUCGCCAUGAAUCUACUGACCAUACUAAUCGCCUGUGAAAUAUCUGGGCGUGUACACACCAUGGCAUACAUCAAACUGCCAACUGCACUAGCAUAAUGUACACGAUCCAUGCGUACCUUUUCUUCCGCUGUAGUAAGAGAUUGUUUACCAGAGAGCCUGAAAUGUGGAGCCAAUGGAGUUACCACCGACUUUGCACCUUGCAACCCGAACCUAGCAAUAACCCGCUCAAUGUAGCCUUUCUGACUCAAGAAUAUUAGCCGGUUCGUCCUCUCUCUUCUAAUCUCCAUACCUAGUAUUUUCCUAGCAGCCCCCAUAUCCUUCAUCUCAAACUCUUUACCAAGUUGAGAUUUCAACCUAUCUAUCUGCACCUUACUUUUCGAAGCGAUAAGCAUGUCAUCCACAUACAAAAAAAGAUAGAUAUAGUAACCGCCCCGAAGUUUUCGAAUAUAAACACAACAGUCAUACUCACUUCUAGAGAAAUCAUGCUUUAACAUGAAGGAGUCAAAUCGCUUGUACCACUGCCGAGGAGAUUGCUUCAAUCCAUAUAAUGAUUUUCUCAAGCGACAUACCUGAAGUUCCUUAUCCUCAACCUUGUAGCCUUCAGGUUGAUGCAUAUAGAUUUCCUCAUCCAAGUCCCCGUGCAAGAAGGCGAUUUUGACAUCGAGUUGUUCCAGCUCAGGAUCAUGAUGAGCAACAAUACUCAAUAGCACCCGAAUGGAAGUAUG